AACGGAAGUUGUUGUACACCAUCGGACUUUURUUUGUGAAACACUGGCGGUAUUUUCGAUUCUUCACUGAACCUGCUGCCUGGUUGCUCCAGCCAGCCCAGUAACAGUGAGGUCGGAUAUGGAGGGUUGCUGAGCCCUGCUCUCUACCGUGGUCCGUCAGCCAGUCCAGCCGGACAGGACUCCGGUCAGGAGACGCAUAGUUAAGACGACAGGAUGAGCUCCGCGGCCCCUCCGGCCAAGAGGAAAUGUUACAUGGGACGACAUCAGAUCAUCAAGAAAAACAGUGUCCCCGACCCUGAGCAGCCACUCACCCCAAGACGCUCCAGUCGCCUGCAAAACACUCAUACACACACGCUGCGUGACAACACA